rnacentral:lncRNA from 1 species
CAGUUUUUAAAGAUGCUCCUUGAUUUUUUGACCUUCAUAAAUUCCAUGUUCCCAGGGAGUGUUCCAGUUAUUUUUCUGAGUUUUUUUUUUGUUUGUCUCCAUCCAAAUGGCAGGAGAAUUACCACCUCCCCGCCCCCCAUCAGUAAAAUGCUGUCCAGGCUGGGAAAGGGCCAUUGCUCAGUAGUGGAGCCUGUGUUUUUGCAUGCAAAUUCCCUGAUGUCAUUUCCAGGCAGGGCUGGGAACAGCCCCUAGAGAGCUGCUUCUGCCAGUCAGUGUAAACCAUAGGGAGCUAGAUGUGCUAAUAUGGUUUGAGUCAGUAGAAGACAGCUUCCUGUGUUCUCAUUUAAAUCAGCCCUUUGGGACUGUGAGGACUAGAAUCUUAUAUUGUAUUUAGGCAGGGGAGAAACUAGGCUUUAUUUCCCCCGGGUCAAAGACCCAGUUUGGCACCCCACCCAGCCCCCCAUGCAGUGGCGUAGCGUGGGGGGUGCAGGGGGGGCCGGCCGCACCGGGCGCAACAUCUGGGGGGGGGCGCGCUCGCACUCGCAGCUCUCUGCCCCUACCUGGCUCACUCACUCUCUCUCACUGCAGUGCUGGCUGUGUGAAUCCGAUCCGAGCCGCUGGGUCGCUGCCCACUGUGGAGGGGGUGGGUGCCAGGCGUGCGGUGCGGAGAGAGAGCGAGGGACUAUCUGGGGGAGGGACAGUGCAGCGGCCGCCCAGAGCAGCGCUGAGCGCGGGAGAGAACCACACCAGACCAGACCAGGCAGCAGCAAGAAGAAGCUGGCAGCGGCGGCAGGUUAGGGGUUAGGGGGCGCAAAUUACUUGCCUUGCCCCGGGUGCUGACAACCCACGCUACGCCACUGCCCCCAUGCACAAAGGACUGGAAAGGAAAGACUCCUGCCUGAGGCCCUGGAGUGCCACCUUCUAGUCAGCGUGGAGGUGGACCAAUGAUCUUACUGGACAAAGCAGCUCCUUAAGGCCCCACCAGGGGUGACUCUUUGGGCAUCGCUCCCAGUCCAGGAAGAGAGCGAGAUCCAUUUCUCCUUGAAAGGCAGAAACCAACUCUACUUUAAAAACAAAACCUACUUUAGCUGCAUUGUUUCCGAACCCUGGUGGGAUUUGGCGUCUAUCUGAUGUUCCUCCCCUUUCUGCCUUCUUUGUGCACAGCUGUUUAUGAUGGAGGCCUCUCACCUGCGGUUCCUGCACAUCCCAACUGUCCUUCCCCAACCUUGGAGAGUUUCUAAAGAUCCCAAAUAAGGCUGCUUCUCUUGCUCAACUGGAGACCCUCCAGACUGUUGUGCAGGCCAUCGCCUCAUCGUGGGUCCCUCCCCCCAGCUCAUAGGCCUCGCUCAGGAGGACAAUUGGAGGACAGCAAUAGAUGAGCCCUGCAGCAACUGGAUCAGGCCCAAGGAACCCUGCUAGAGUGGCAGCCUGUUCUCAAAAGGGCCUACAAGCAGCCUGGCAAGACACCAAUGAUAAAAAGGGAGACCAUAAAACCACGUUUCCUCAUUCAAAGGUGGGAAACUGCACAGGCCAGUCCUGGUGUAUAGACUCUUCCUCCGUCUUGUCUCUCUUCAGAUCCACAAGUGCUCUACCACUUCGUUGACACUUCAGAAGUGGCACCCCAGGUAUAUAAGUUGGUGGUGUCCAGCCCUUAUGAAAGGUGGCAGGGGCUUAAGCCACAAAUGGAUCAGAUUUGGAGCCAGACUAUUCUGUGUGUGGCUGUUGCACAUUCAUCCUCCACUUCCCUGCUUUUUCAGUCAUGGAUUCGGCUAUUCGGCUGCUUGCUGUCCAGCUGUGGGUGAAGCUUGACAAGAUGCCUCCAGCCUGAGUUUGGGAAGGUUUUGAAGCUCCCACCACAGUCCUCCACCAAGAGAAGCGGACAGCAGCCACCCCAUAAGAAGGGAGCAGCCCCCCCCCAAGAGACGAGAGCAUCUCUAUACUCCCAGAGUAUCUGUUUCUUUAAAACAUAUGAGCUUUUUUUUCUUUUCUUUUAUUAAUAUUUUCAUUUAUUUUCCAAAUUACAGUAACAACAAUAAAACAACAAAUUGUCCAACAACAAACAACAAAAACUUGUCCUGGUAUUUGUACAGACUUGUAUCAUUAUAAUAAAGUUUCAUUGAAUUAUUCC